rnacentral:rRNA from 1 species
UACGUAGGCAGCGAGCGUUGUUCGGAAUUACUGGGCGUAAAGAGUGUGUAGGCGGUGUUCUAAGUCUGGUGUGAAAACUCACAGCUUAACUGUGGGCGUGCGGGCGAUACGGGCAGACUGGAGUACUGCAGGGGAGACUGGAAUUCCUGGUGUAGCGGUGGAAUGCGCAGAUAUCAGGAGGAACACCGGUGGCGAAGGCGGGUCUCUGGGCAGUAACUGACGCUGAGGAGCGAAAGCGUGGGGAGCGAACAGG